UACGAGGGGUGCAAGCGUUGCUCGGAAUUAUUGGGCGUAAAGGGUAGGUAGGUGGUCUCAUUUGUCAGGGGUGAAAGCCUUGGGCUUAACCCAAGAAGUGCCCUUGAAACGGUGAGACUGGAGUCUUGGAGAGGGUCGUGGAAUUCCCGGUGUAGCGGUGAAAUGCGUAGAGAUCGGGAGGAACACCAGCGGCGAAGGCGGCGACCUGGACAAGUACUGACACUCAACUACGAAAGCGUGGGUAGCAAACAGG
rnacentral:rRNA from 1 species